AGAGAAGAGACAUUGCUUAGAAGCCAGACAAGCUGGGUUCUGUUUCCAGUUCUGCAACUGCUAUACUGCAUAAUCCUGGAUGAGGUGAAGUGGAGAAAUAAGGGAAAAGCAUCAUGGCAACAGGCACGUUGGCAGGUAGACUUCAGCAGGAAAGGUCACAUGUAAGAUCUGCCUGGCAAUUCUGAG